rnacentral:rRNA from 1 species
CCCGAGUGCUUGCACUCAAUUGGAAAGAGGAGUGGCGGACGGGUGAGUAACACGUGGGUAACCUACCCAUCAGAGGGGGAUAACACUUGGAAACAGGUGCUAAUACCGCAUAACAGUUUAUGCCGCAUGGCAUAAGAGUGAAAGGCGCUUUCGGGUGUCGCUGAUGGAUGGACCCGCGGUGCAUUAGCUAGUUGGUGAGGUAACGGCUCACCAAGGCCACGAUGCAUAGCCGACCUGAGAGGGUGAUCGGCCACACUGGGACUGAGACACGGCCCGCCCCUCCACGGGAGGCAGCAGUAGGGAAUCUUCGGCAAUGGACGAAAGUCUGACCGAGCAACGCCGCGUGAGUGAAGAAGGUUUUCGGAUCGUAAAACUCUGUUGUUAGAGAAGAACAAGGACGUUAGUAACUGAACGUCCCCUGACGGUAUCUAACCAGAAAGCCACGGCUAACUACGUGCCAGCAGCCGCGGUAAUACGUAGGUGGCAAGCGUUGUCCGGAUUUAUUGGGCUGUAUAAGCGAGCGCAGGCGGUUUCUUAAGUCUGAUGUGAAAGCCCCCGGCUCAACCGGGGAGGGUCAUUGGAAACUGGGAGACUUGAGUGCAGAAGAGGAGAGUGGAAUUCCAUGUGUAGCGGUGAAAUGCGUAGAUAUAUGGAGGAACACCAGUGGCGAAGGCGGCUCUCU